GAUGAACGCUGGCGGCGUGCCUAACACAUGCAAGUCGAGCGAUCUUCCUCGGAAGAGAGCGGCGGACGGGUGAGUAACGCGUGGGUAACCUGCCCUGUACACACGGAUAACAUACCGAAAGGUAUGCUAAUACGAGAUAAUAUACUUUUAUCGCAUGGUAGAAGUAUCAAAGCUUUUGCGGUACAGGAUGGACCCGCGUCUGAUUAGCUAGUUGGUAAGGUAACGGCUUACCAAGGCGACGAUCAGUAGCCGACCUGAGAGGGUGAUCGGCCACAUUGGAACUGAGACACGGUCCAAACUCCUACGGGAGGCAGCAGUGGGGAAUAUUGCACAAUGGGCGAAAGCCUGAUGCAGCAACGCCGCGUGAGCGAUGAAGGCCUUCGGGUCGUAAAGCUCUGUCCUCAAGGAAGAUAAUGACGGUACUUGAGGAGGAAGCCCCGGCUAACUACGUGCCAGCAGCCGCCGUAA
rnacentral:rRNA from 1 species